UUAAGGUCCCUGAAAAUGGCUACA
rnacentral:piRNA from 1 species